GACGAACGCUGGCGGCGCGCCUAACACAUGCAAGUCGAACGAGCGAGAGAGAGCUUGCUUUCUUGAGCGAGUGGCGAACGGGUGAGUAACGCGUGAGGAACCUGCCUCAAAGAGGGGGACAACAGUUGGAAACGACUGCUAAUACCGCAUAAGCCCACGGUGCCGCAUGGCACAGAGGGAAAAGGAGCAAUCCGCUUUGAGAUGGCCUCGCGUCCGAUUAGCUAGUUGGUGAGGUAACGGCCCACCAAGGCGACGAUCGGUAGCCGGACUGAGAGGUUGAACGGCCACAUUGGGACUGAGACACGGCCCAGACUCCUACGGGAGGCGGGAGUGGGGAAUAUUGCACGAUGGGGGAGACCCUGAUGCAGCGACGCCGCGUGGAGGAAGAAGGUCUUCGGAUUGUAAACUCCUGUUGUUGGGGAAGAUAAUGACGGUACCCAACAAGGAAGUGACGGCUAACUACGUG
rnacentral:rRNA from 1 species